ACUCCUACGGGAGGCAGCAGUGGGGAAUAUUGCACAAUGGGCGCAAGCCUGAUGCAGCCAUGCCGCGUGUGUGAAGAAGGCCUUCGGGUUGUAAAGCACUUUCAGUUGUGAGGAAGGUGGUGUCGUUAAUAGCGGCAUCAUUUGACGUUAGCAACAGAAGAAGCACCGGCUAACUCCGUGCCAGCAGCCGCGGUAAUACGGAGGGUGCGAGCGUUAAUCGGAAUUACUGGGCGUAAAGCGCAUGCAGGUGGUUUGUUAAGUCAGAUGUGAAAGCCCGGGGCUCAACCUCGGAACUGCAUUUGAAACUGGCAGACUAGAGUACUGUAGAGGGGGUAGAAUUUCAGGUGUAGCGGUGAAAUGCGUAGAGAUCUGAAGGAAUACCGGUGGCGAAGGCGGCCCCCUGGACAGAUACUGACACUCAGAUGCGAAAGCGUGGGGAGCAAACAGGAUUAGAUACCCUGGUAGGACAGUG
rnacentral:rRNA from 1 species